UACGUAGGUGGCAAGCGUUGUCCGGAUUUAUUGGGUUUAAAGGGUGCGUAGGCGGCCCUGUAAGUCAGUGCUGAAAUAUCCCAGCUUAACUGGGUGGGUGGCAUUGAUACUGCGGGGCUAGAGUACAGAUGAGGUAGGCGGAAUUGACGGUGUAGCGGUGAAAUGCUUAGAUAUCGUCAAGAACACCUAUAGCGAAGGCAGCUUACUAGGCUGUAACUGACGCUGAGGCACGAAAGUGUGGGGAUCAAACAGG
rnacentral:rRNA from 1 species